AGUAGGAGUAGUUGAAUUUUAUUUCCGCUUACAUCUCUACAGACUCUACGAAGAUUCUGUGUGUCACAGUGACAAACCAAGUAUGCUGUCCACGGCCCAUCAACUUGGUGCCAUGAAUCUGAUUGUCCCGAAGGUAUAAUCAUUACUGGCUACUGGAGAUAAAAGAACUGUUUAUCUGGACCAGUUGUAUUUUGUAUCCGGACAUCCCCGUCAUCAUCAGAAUGUGUAUAAACAAAUACUUCAGGGUGAUCGUCAACCAUUUGGUCACUUGAUGUUUAUACUGUGAUUAUUUCGUUCAUUGCGGUCAUGGUCAACGCAUCCAGUAGCGGCGUCUGCUGCGCAUAGGUCAUAGAGGGCAGAGCGCCAUUAUCUGUAAAUUGAAUCAAGGUCAUUGAGAAAACCCAUAGAAAGCGUAAAAUCCUUGAAAGGAAAUGAAUUGAUGUCCAGAGAUGGUACAGUCAGUGCAGUAGGGAGGUCACAGGAAUACUAGUCCAGAGAUUACGAGAUUGAUACUCAAUGUGAGGUUUACUGACUGUAGCAGUGUGGUCAGAGAUCACACAUUUAAUUGCCCGGUGAGGUAGACUACAAUCAUACUACAGAAAGGAGGUCACAGGAAUUCCAAUCCAAGGUCACACAUUUGUCAAGGUCGUACAUGCAGAUAAAGCUGUGCUGACAAAACGUUUAGCUACCAGUCUCGGGACUGGUGCUGUUCAAGGGAGUAAUAAUGGAGUGCCUAGCACUGUGGUGCACAGGAAAAAAUAAAAAUAUAAAAAGCUGCAACUUCAGUGAGAAAAGAAAACAAACAAACAGAACUUGGAUGUAUAAUGAGUUAAUAUACAGACAGUAAUUCACUUUAGUAGGAUUUAAUUAGUGACUGCAAUAAGAAAAAAUAUUUAGAUUUAUAAAAGACUGGAAACAAUAUUUUACAUGUUGUAGUGUUGAAAUAUUCUGUUAUAUUUCUUCAGGAAAAUUGCAAACAAACUUUAAAUAAAUGUUAGAUUUCUUUUUGUUAAAUGUUAACAAAAUCACAACUAUUUGAAAAUAAAACAUGUAUUAAACAAUGCUAGUUUUAGUCUUUUUUCAAUUUCGUAAUCGUUGGGAUAGCGUUGGCAUCCAUCUUUGGCCAACAAAGAAACAGAGUUGGCCCAACGUUGGACCAACCGUGAUAGACGAAAAAAUGCUGUUGGCCCAAUGGAGGGCCAACGAUGAGUGUAGGAUAUCAGUUGUUGGCCCAAUGGAGGGCCAACGAUGAGUGUAGGAUAUCAGUUGUUGGCCCAAUGGAGGGCCAACGAUGAGUGUAGGAUACCAGUCGUUGGGCCAACGGUGUACC